GAUGAACGCUAGCGGCAGGCCUAAUACAUGCAAGUCGAGGGGUUAACAACAUUUAUGUUGUUAACGACCGGCGAACGGGUGAGUAAUGCGUAUGUAAUCUGCCUCGCACUGGGGCAUAGCUCCGGGAAAUCGGAAUUAAUUCCCCAUAUUAUCCCUUGGUCGCAUGACCAAGAGAUGAAAGCUCCGGCGGUGCGAGAUGAGCAUACGUCCUAUUAGUGAUUAGUGAGGUAAUGGCUCACUAUAGCAAUGAUGGGUAGGGGUUCUGAAAGGAUGAUCCCCCACACUGGUACUGAGACACGGACCAGACUUCUACGGAAGGCAGCAGUAGGGAAUAUUGGGCAAUGGGCGCAAGCUUGACCCAGCCAUGCCGCGUGCAGGAUGAAGGCCAUUAGGUUGUAAACUGCUUUUAUGCGAGAUAAAUAAGCCCCCGAGGGGGCCCAUGAUAGUAUCGUAUGAAUAAGUACCGGCUAACUCCG
rnacentral:rRNA from 1 species